rnacentral:rRNA from 1 species
GAGAUAACUCCUACGGGAGGCAGCAGUGGGGAAUAUUGGACAAUGGGGGCAACCCUGAUCCAGCAAUGCCGCGUGAGUGAAGAAGGCCUUCGGGUUGUAAAGCUCUUUUGUGCGGGAAGAUAAUGACGGUGCCGCAAGAAUAAGCCCCGGCUAACUUCGUGCCAGCAGCCGCGGUAAUACGAAGGGGGCUAGCGUUGCACGGAAUCACUGGGCGUAAAGGGUGCGUAGGCGGGUCUUUAAGUCAGGGGUGAAAUCCUGGAGCUCAACUCCAGAACUGCCUUUGAUACUGAGGAUCUUGAGUUCGGGAGAGGUGAGUGGAACUGCGAGUGUAGAGGUGAAAUUCGUAGAUAUUCGCAAGAACACCAGUGGCGAAGGCGGCUCCCUGGCCCGAUACUGACGCUGAGGCACGAAAGCGUGGGGAGCAAACAGGAUUAGAUACCCUGGUAGUCCUCCACU